rnacentral:rRNA from 1 species
CGGGACGGGUGAGUAAUGUCUGGGAAACUGCCUGAUGGAGGGGGAUAACUGCUGGAAACGGUGGCUAAUACCGCAUAACGUCGCAAGACCAAAGAGGGGGACCUUCGGGCCUCUUGCCAUCGGAUGUGCCCAGAUGGGAUUAGCUAGUAGGUGGGGUAACGGCUCACCUAGGCGACGAUCCCUAGCUGGUCUGAGAGGAUGGCCAGCCACACUGGAACUGAGACACGGUCCGG